CCGGCAUCGAACGAGGCAGGUUAGUAACGCUUCGUGAGAGGGAACCCGGUGGAAGUCCGGGACUGUCCCGCAGCGGUGAGCAGGAACGACCGCCGUCAACAGCACUGGUCUCACGGCAACAGAGGCUGGGAAGCGACGGCCACUAGGAAUUCUGCCCGGCUCCUGAGCGGCCCUUUCGGGCCGCAUAGUCGGCCGGGCGGAGCACCAACCGGGUGCGCGCCUGCGAGUCCGAAGACCUGCCGGCUGUGCCGGGCGCGC
rfam:Mycobacterium saskatchewanense strain DSM 44616 contig_14, whole genome shotgun sequence.